UACGUAGGGGGCAAGCGUUGUCCGGAUUUAUUGGGCGUAAAGAGCGUGUAGGCGGCCUUACAGGUCAGCUGUGAAAACUCGAGGCUCAACCUCGAGAGGUCGGUUGAAACCGUAAGGCUAGAGUCCGGAAGAGGAGAGUGGAAUUCCCGGUGUAGCAGUGAAAUGCGUAGAGAUCAUGAGGAAGACCAGUGGCGAAGGCGGGUCCCUGGACAGUUCCUGACACUGAGACACGAAGGCCAGGGGAGCAAACGGG
rnacentral:rRNA from 1 species